rnacentral:rRNA from 1 species
CCGAUUGCGAUCUGAUGAUGAAGUCUGAUGGAGCAACGCCGCGUGAGUGAUGAAGGUUUUCGGAUCGUAAAACUCUGUUGUAAGGGAAGAACACGUACGAGAGGGAAUGCUCGUACCUUGACGGUACCUUACGAGAAAGCCACGGCCCAACUACGUGCCAGCAGCCGCGGUAAUACGUAGGUGGCAAGCGUUGUCCGGAAUUAUUGGGCGUAAAGCGCGCGCGGCGGCCUUUUAAGUCUUAUGUGAAAGCCCCCGGCUCAACCGGGGAGGGCCAUUGGAAACUGGAAGGCUUGAGUACAGAAGAGAAGAGUGGAAUUCCACGUGUAGCGGUGAAAUGCGUAGAGAUGUGGAGGAACACCAGUGGCGAAGGCGACUCUUUGGNCUGUAACUGACGCUGAGGCGCGAAAGCGUGGGGAGCAAACAGGAUUAGAACCCUGGUAGUCCCGCCGUAAACGAUGAGUGCUAGGUGUUGGGGGGUUUCCGCCCCUCAGUGCCUGAAGCUAACGCAUUAAGGGCACUCCGCCUGGGGAGUACGGCCGCAAGGCUGAAACCCCAAAGGAAUUGACGGGGACCCGCACAAGCGGUGGAGCAUGUGGUUUAAUUCGAAGCAACGCGAAGAACCUUUCCAACUCUUGACAUCCCAAUUGACCGCUUGAGAGAUCAAGUUCCCUUCGGGGAC